GGAUAACAGGGUUGGCCACAGCCGGCCUGCCUCCUUCCCCUUCACAUCCUGUCCCGAACAUGACUUCUGACCUGGAAGUUAUCACUCACUUUGGUGGACUCAUUUAUUUACACGCCCACCUUUUCCUCUAGAAUUUGAGUUCCUGAAGGCACGUGCCUUAACACCUCAAACUGCAGAAACAGAUGCCAUUCGGUUUUUGGUUGGGACGCAGUCUCUUAAAUAUGAUAAUCAGAUCCAUAUCAUAGAUUUUGACGAUGAAAACAACAUUAUAAAUAAAAAUGUCCUCCUCCAUCAAGCGGGUGAAAUCUGGCAUAUUAGCGCUAGCCCUGCAGACAGAGGUGUGCUGACGACCUGCUACAACAGAAUGUCGUGUGGGAGCCAAUGGGAGAUGGGAAGAAAAUCAUUUCCUUGGCUGAUAACCAUAUCCUGCUGUGGGAUUUACAGGAAAGCUCGAGCCAGGCUGUGCUGGCCAGCUCAGCGUCCCUGGAAGGGAAGGGACAACUGAAGUUCACCUCAGGACGGUGGAGCCCACAUCAUAACUGCACCCAGGUGGCCACAGCGAACGACACCACCCUCCGUGGCUGGGACACCCGGAGCAUGAGCCAGAUCUACUGCAUAGAGAAUGCCCACGGACAGCUGGUGCGGGACCUUGACUUUAAUCCCAAUAAGCAGUACUACUUGGCCAGCUGCGGAGACGACUGUAAGGUGAAGUUCUGGGACACCCGAAAUGUCACCGAACCCGUGAAGACCCUGGAGG
rnacentral:lncRNA from 1 species